rnacentral:rRNA from 1 species
UACGUAGGUGGCAAGCGUUAUCCGGAAUUAUUGGGCGUAAAGCGCGCGCAGGCGGCUUCUUAAGUCUGAUGUGAAAGCCCACGGCUCAACCGUGGAGGGUCAUUGGAAACUGGGAAACUUGAGUGCAGAAGAGAAGAGUGGAAUUCCACGUGUAGCGGUGAAAUGCGUAGAGAUGUGGAGGAACACCAGUGGCGAAGGCGACUCUUUGGUCUGUAACUGACGCUGAGGCGCGAAAGCGUGGGGAGCAAACAGG